rnacentral:rRNA from 1 species
UACAGAGGGUGCAAGCGUUAAUCGGAAUUACUGGGCGUAAAGCGUGCGUAGGCGGUUCGUUAAGUCUGUCGUGAAAGCCCUGGGCUCAACCUGGGAAUUGCGAUGGAUACUGGCGAGCUAGAGUACGGUAGAGGAUGGUGGAAUUCCCGGUGUAGCGGUGAAAUGCGUAGAGAUCGGGAGGAACACCCGUGGCGAAGGCGGCCAUCUGGACCAGUACUGACGCUGAGGCACGAAAGCGUGGGGAGCAAACAGG